CAAUUCAUCUGUUCCCAAUAAACAUUUUCUUUCAAUACACACUUCACGCCAAUAUUCUCCUCCACUUUCCAAUAUUCACCCACCACUACCUAAGUCUCUUUCCAAUGCCUCCCUCCGUCGUCUCAUCUUCCACUACCGAAGGCACAUCUCCUCCCUCCUCUUGGCCCACCACCGAAGACAACUCCCUGUCUUCAGCCUAAUUUCUUCUUUCCUUCCUUCCUGUUUACCACAAUUUUCUCACUCCUGUAAGCCCUCUCUCUGUACCGCUUUCUCUCUCCCCCAUAACUCUAUCCUCCAUUGAUGUAUCUUUCUCUUUGUUGCCCUCAUCUCUCCAAUCGUAUUGAUGGUGUUGUUUGAUUUGCUCGGUAAUCGUGGCUUUUAGAGGUUUUCUACAACACAAAGCGGCGGAGGUCGGAGCUAGUUGUGAUGAACGGUCUCGCAAUUUAAAAGUUAUCCACCUUCCUCUAAUCCCCCAAUCAUCAUAAAGUGGAAUCAAAUGAAGUUGAAUGGCGGGGCUGAGCAGCAAAAGAGAGGUAAUUGGGUUGAAAACCAGGAAGCGGUUGAGCCGCCAUCUCACCGCAGCCCCAAACGAAUCAAUAGACCACCGUGAAUGAUUUUGAUGACAUAGAAUGGUGCUGCUUGGUUCCAUCAAUCCCCCUAUCAUGUUCCAUGAGAUCAAGGACACCACUAUGAGUUAUGAAUUAAUCAAUGGAAUAGCUCUACUUCAUUGGAUAUGGAAUCCAAAGGAGUGUUUACAAAGGGGAUGACAGUUGAGAGGGCAAGCCGCGGGUCUGUUUUCCUGUCAGUUGCUGCUGUUAGGUGCUUUUUUCCUGUCAGUUUUUUCACUGUCUGCUGCUCUGGUGUGUGGCUUUGGCUGCAGUUUUUGUUUUGGUCCUGUUUUAGGCCUUCAUGUGUAGUGGUGAUUUUGAUUUGUUGGUUUGUAUUGUGAUGGGGAAGGGUGUUUUGGUUUCCUGUUGGUUGCUUGCUGCAUGCAUAAGGUUUCUAUUUUAGCAGGCACUAUACUUACUUAAAUAUGCUAAAUAUUAGUUUAACUUUAUCCUACAUAUACUGUAAUGUCUAAUGCUAUUUAUAUUAUAAUUGAUAUGCAGGUCAUUUGGAAACUUAUCAACAGUUGGAGGCAUUUUAUGUUACAUGACAGAUAGAUAUAGUAUAUGAACUAUCUUUAUAUGUUUUUGUUUAGAGGAUGUAUUAUGAUCGACUUAAGUGUGAACUAUUUUAUGCAUUAUUGAUCCUUAUGAGGUCCAUUUAUUGUA